CAAGAAGAGUUGAAAAACUCCCAAAACCCACUGUGAACCUACCUGUAUUUUUUGCUUCGGCGGGCAGCCCCAGGGCGGGGCCGCGCGCCCGGGGUUGUCCCCGGGUGCCCGCCGAAAGCACCAAAAACUCUUGUUUUUUUCAGUGUCUUCUGAGCUAUAAAACAAACAAGUUA
rnacentral:misc_RNA from 1 species